GCGUUCCGUCUAUUCUCUUAUUACGCCUGUCAGCCUUUCUCUAUCGCGGGGAGAUUGAUGGAAAUUGACUAGACUGAAGAAGCGUAAGCGGCUCGAUGGCUUUGUACUUCUGUUUCUGUGUCCAAAAGUAAAUCGUGAAUCCAGAGUAUGGGGCGUACGGAACGAGGAGAACGCGGAAAGCGACGCUCGCGAAAUUCGCACGACGUAUGCUAUUCUACAGCCCACCCCGACGGUGCGGCACGUCAUUUAACGGUCGACCGUUCGAGAACUCUUAUAUCCCCCGGUUGAUAAAUUAUAUAUCGUCGCGUGUCAAGCCUUCUCCUGUGACAAUUCGCAAUUAUCUUACAUAGCUUCCGAAGUGUAUACGCCCCCACGUAUCGACCAAGUGAGUGUAACAAACUCGUCUGGAAAUCCUUCGAGUUCAUAAACGUAGUACAUAAAAUUGUUGCAUUACAUUGUCAAACAAAUUCACGAACGGUUGAAGUUCAAAGUGGAAAUGCGCCAUUUGCGCGGACGGCAAUAAACGAAAGACUUCAAGAGAAAACGGCCCAAAGAGGCAACAGUUCCAAAAGUAAACGACUUUAUACAUAAGCCUGAGUUCCCGUAUCGUGGAAAAGGGCGACUAGCAGCAGGGAAAACGAGAAAAAGCUUUUCGGAACUUUUGCCCGAUAUCGCAAGUUCAAAACUUCGGCCAAGGCGGAUAUUUCUGCGGCAUCCUAGAUAUAUCGUCGCCAGUUAUUUCUGGAUUCACCUAGAUUUUCAAAGCGACCGGAAUCCCCAAAUAAUUCAACAAAGGAGAGGCACGAAAUGUCUACCGAAAUGUUCACCGAUAUCUGUUGGGCAUAGAAGAAGUGCCAAGGAUGUGCGUGUGUGUACGAGAAGCAACGGGGAUGCAACGCGGACGGUCCCACCUUCCGUCUCCGCGACGAGGAAAUAAUCGGCGAGGAGGAGACGGCGGGAUGCCGUCGAGGAGCCGCCCGAAUUUAUUUAUAGGUUUACAAUAACGUAAGUUGAUGAAGCGCCAGGCGACGAGUUACGUGAAUUGUCGCGACGCGUAUGUAUGUACAUACGAGCCACGCACGUGCGCGAUGUGUAAAUCUUACGCCGGUUGUAUAGAUGAAAUGAAUCCGUAGAAAUAGAAAAAAAAAAAUCGGUGAGGAUUGUCUAAUCGAGAUAUUCAAUCGGGUUUCGCCUGAUUACAUGUCAAUUUGUUAUCCUUACUUUUUUAACGUAGCUGUAUAUAGCGAGAUAUAAAAGAGUAAAUCCUAAAAAGUAAUUUCGUAUUGCGUGAUUCUUUCCUAAUGUAGUUCGAGAUCAUGUCCGACAUAGGAAGCUCAAUGAUAUGUACUGAAGAUUAAUUACUAUCGGAAAUAAAAUUGAUACUCACCUUUUUGCUGGA